rnacentral:rRNA from 1 species
UACGGGAGGCAGCAGUGAGGAAUAUUGGUCAAUGGACGCAAGUCUGAACCAGCCAAGUAGCGUGCAGGAUGACGGCCCUAUGGGUUGUAAACUGCUUUUAUAUGGGGAUAAAGUGGGGAACGUGUUCCCUUUUGCAGGUACCAUAUGAAUAAGGACCGGCUAAUUCCGUGCCAGCAGCCGCGGUAAUACGGAAGGUUCGGGCGUUAUCCGGAUUUAUUGGGUUUAAAGGGAGCGUAGGCCGUUUGGUAAGCGUGUUGUGAAAUGUAGUAGCUCAACUUCUAGAUUGCAGCGCGAACUGUCAGACUUGAGUGCGCACAACGUAGGCGGAAUUCAUGGUGUAGCGGUGAAAUGCUUAGAUAUCAUGAAGAACUCCGAUUGCGAAGGCAGCUUACGGGAGCGCAACUGACGCUGAAGCUCGAAGGUGCGGGUAUCGAACAGGAUUAGAUACCCUGGUAGUCCGCACAGUAAACGAUGGAUGCCCGCUGUUAGCACCUAGUGUUAGCGGCUAAGCGAAAGCAUUAAGCAUCCCACCUGGG